rnacentral:rRNA from 1 species
UACGUAGGGGGCAAGCGUUGUCCGGAAUCAUUGGGCGUAAAGAGCGUGUAGGCGGUCCUGUAAGUCCGCUGUGAAAGUCAAGGGCUCAACCCUUGAAUGCCGGUGGAUACUGCAGGACUAGAGUCCGGAAGAGGCGAGUGGAAUUCCUGGUGUAGCGGUGAAAUGCGCAGAUAUCAGGAGGAACACCGGUGGCGAAGGCGGAUCUCUGGGCCUUACCUGACGCUCAGGUGCGAAAGCUAGGGGAGCGAACAGG